rnacentral:rRNA from 1 species
UACGUAGGCAGCAAGCGUUGUUCGGAGUUACUGGGCGUAAAGAGUGUGUAGGCGGUUCUCUAAGUUUGGUGUGAAAUCUCCCGGCUUAACUGGGAGGGUGCGCCGAAAACUGGAAGGCUUGAGUAUGGGAGAGGUAAGCGGAAUUCCUGGUGUAGCGGUGAAAUGCGUAGAUAUCAGGAGGAACACCUGCGGUGUAGACGGCUUACUGGACCAUAACUGACGCUGAGGCACGAAAGCGUGGGUAGCAAACAGG